UACGUAGGCAGCAAGCGUUGUUCGGAGUUACUGGGCGUAAAGGGUGUGUAGGCGGUUGUUUAAGUUUGGUGUGAAAUCUCCCGGCUCAACUGGGAGGGUGCGCCGAAUACUGAAUGACUAGAGUGCGGGAGAGGAAAGUGGAAUUCCUGGUGUAGCGGUGAAAUGCGUAGAUAUCAGGAAGAACACCCGUGGCGAAAGCGGCUCUCUGGAACGGUACUGACGCUGAGACGCGAAAGCGUGGGGAGCAAACAGG
rnacentral:rRNA from 1 species